GAACGCACAUUGCGCCCCCUGGCAUUCCGGGGGGCAUGCCUGUCCGAGCGUCAUUGCUACCCCUCAAGCGCGGCUUGUGUGUUGGGCGCUGUCCCUCCCCUUCUUCGGGGGGACAGGCCUGAAAGGCAGUGGCGGCGUCGCGUCCGGUCCUCGAGCGUAUGGGGCUUUGUCACCCGCUCUGUGAGGAUCCGGCCGGGGCCUGUCUCACCCCCAAUCUUCUCUAAGGUUGACCUCGGAUCAGGUAGGGAUACCCGCUGAACUUAAG
rnacentral:misc_RNA from 1 species